rnacentral:lncRNA from 1 species
AAUAUUGUAAUAUCUCUUAAUUAUUAGAUCUUAAAAGUACAUGGAAUGUUAUUAAUUCUAGUACUAGAAACAAUUUGGCAAUGGCUCAUAGCAUGGUGUAAUGCCUGACUUACCAUUGCAAACAUAAUUACUAGACCAUUAUCAAUAAAUGCAAAACAAAGAACAAACAAUCACAUGUAUUUAUAAAACCAGAUAUGCACUUACAAUUGAUGGUAGCUAUCUAGAAUCCCAUAUAUGCAUGCAAUUAGUUUUUUUUUUAAUGCAAUAAUAAAUUAUCAAAUAUAUUAUUUAUUUUCAUAUUAUUGAAGUCCAACAAGCAAUUUAUGUAGCAACCAUCACGUCAAUUCCAUCUAUUGAGUAUUGGACUAAAUGAAAUGACAUAAAAUUGUUGUUGCUUUGAUCUUACUACCC